GAUGAACGCUGGCGGCGUGCUUAACACAUGCAAGUCGAACGGGAAACCUUUUAUUGAAGCUUCGGCAGAUUUAACUGGUUUCUAGUGGCGGACGGGUGAGUAACGCGUGGGUAACCUGCCUUGUACAGGGGGAUAACAGUCAGAAAUGACUGCUAAUACCGCAUAAGCGCACAGGACCGCAUGGUCCGGUGUGAAAAACUCCGGUGGUAUAAGAUGGACCCGCGUUGGAUUAGCUAGUUGGCAGGGUAACGGCCUACCAAGGCGACGAUCCAUAGCCGGCCUGAGAGGGUGAACGGCCACAUUGGGACUGAGACACGGCCCAGACUCCUACGGGAGGCAGCAGUGGGGAAUAUUGCACAAUGGGGGAAACCCUGAUGCAGCGACGCCGCGUGAAGGAAGAAGUAUCUCGGUAUGUAAACUUCUAUCAGCAGGGAAGAAAA
rnacentral:rRNA from 1 species